AGAGUUUGAUCCUGGCUCAGAACGAACGCUGGCGGCGUGCUUAACACAUGCAAGUCGAACGCGAAAAUUUUCCUCGGAAAGUGAGUAGAGUGGCGCACGGGUGAGUAACGCGUAAGUUAUCUACCUCGGCAUCCGGAAUAACUCACCGAAAGGUGUGCUAAUACCGGAUACGUUGAGUAAUCAAGAAAGGUGGCCUCUGAAUAUGCUACUGUGCUGAGAUGAGCUUGCGUACCAUUAGCUAGUAGGUAGGGUAAAGGCCUACCUAGGCUACGAUGGUUAGCGGGUCUGAGAGGAUGAUCCGCCACACUGGAACUGGAACACGGACCAGACUCCUACGGGAGGCAGCAGUGAGGAAUAUUGCGCAAUGGGGGAAACCCUGACGCAGCGACGCCGCGUGGGUGAAGAAGGCCUUCGGGUUGUAAAGCCCUGUCAGGUGGGAAGAAGUGUAUCAUGGCUAAUAUCCAUGGUAUUUGACGGUACCACCAAAGGAAGCACCGGCUAACUCCGUGCCAGCAGCCGCGGUAAUACGGAGGGUGCAAGCGUUGUUCGGAUUUACUGGGCGUAAAGGGCGCGUAGGCGGUUUUAUAAGCCAGAUGUGAAAGCCCACGGCUCAACCGUGGAAGUGCAUCUGGAACUGUAAGACUUGAGUAUGGGAGAGGAAAGUGGAAUUCCCGGUGUAGAGGUGAAAUUCGUAGAUAUCGGGAGGAAUACCGGUGGCGAAGGCGACUUUCUGGACCAAUACUGACGCUGAGGCGCGAAAGCGUGGGUAGCAAACAGGAUUAGAUACCCUGGUAGUCC
rnacentral:rRNA from 1 species